rnacentral:lncRNA from 1 species
UACCAUGACACAUUCUGAGGAGACAGUAAGGUGUUCAUCUCUCUGACAUCCAGAUCCUAUCUGUACGUGGAGCUCAGCUGCAUUGUGCACUGCUAACUGGCCCAUUGGUGCUAGAUGAGAACCUUUGGCUGGGACAUCAUCAGUUUGUCAUAGAAUGUUCAUAUGAACCACAGGGACUGCUACCCUUUCUAUUAUGCCACUAAGUCUUCAUGUUAAUUCAAUUAAGUAUUCGUGUCUCUCUGCAAAACAAACCUGGAAAUCUGUUUUCUAAUUGAUUAAUGUAUUUACCAUAAAUUUUAAAAUGAUAAGAGCAACCUGAUACAGUAGUGCAUACUGCCCAAACUGUAAGACAGUAAGACCCCCCUUAAGCAUUGUGAAUGGUGAAAUAGUCAAUAGUGAAUCACCUUUUAUAAAUUACCUACUUCAAAAUGGAAAGUAUUUCAUUAAUCUUACAUAUAUAUUUAAACUUUAGAAUAGUAAUACUCUGUUGAAACUAAGGAAAUUUCCACACUUGAUAAUGAAGAUUCUUUAUCUUAUGGAAGAUUUUAUCUCAAGUUUGUUUCUAAAAAUACGGUUGAGAGGAUAAAAUAUUCCAUGGUAAAAUCACAAUAAAAUUUUCACAUUAAAAAUGACAGCUCCUAUGUAAAACAUUUCUGCAAGAAUUCCAAAGCCUCUACUAAAAUGUCAGGCAUGUCUAUAAAACCCUACUAGAUAUUUUUGGUAUAACAUAACAUUACCUCAAGGAAUUCCACAGGCUGUCCCUCCCCACAUCUGUUAGCAAAGUUACUGUCAAACACAGCCAUGAAAUGUGGCUCUCAGACCUCCAACACUUUCAGUCAAAACUGAUGAUGUAAAAUAGUCCUAUAAAAUUACAAUUGUGUCUGCACUGAGGAGCUGGGGGUGCAUUACUUUAAUCUCCUUAAUUGCUAGAUGAAGAAUUAGAUUUAGAGGAGUGAUGUGUUAAAGUCACAUAGCUAGUUGACAGCAGAUUUAGUUCCAAAACAAUGCUAUCCAAAGAACAUUAAAAACUUUGCUCCAGAUGUUUUUAACAUAGAAGAAAUUCAUUCACUAAAAGUCUAGGAAUAUAAAUGGUAGGGAGUUAAAAGAAGUAGAAACUAUCCUGGAAGAGUCUACAACUGUUUGAAUUUUACAAAACACCUAAAAUAUAUCCAUAUCUCUUCUAGUUUUGUAUUAUUUAUCAAUUUUAAAGAGUGGAAAUUCAGUCAAAAUUAAUAAGAGCCAUUACAUUAUGGAAAGUACAGGGUCCAGAUAUUAUCUUUUUACCUCCACAGCAUACCCUCCAAAGCAUACAUGUAUCUGAAUUUUAGAAAUAAAU